rnacentral:lncRNA from 1 species
UUUGUUUUUUGUAGUUCAAUAUUCCACAAAACUUGUUCAAAGGAGAGGAGAAGAAGAGCAAGAAAGGGAAGAUCAAGAAAGGGAGACCAUUUACCUUGCCUCAUUUCUAUGAGGAAUUGAAGGAUGAUGAGAAAUGGAAGAAGCGUGAUGGUAUCGAUGAUGUUGAUGAGAGCAACAAACGCAAGCAAACAAUUGAGUUGGAUGACGAUGAUGAGGAGGCAUCAAGUGAUGACGGAAAGAGAAGCCCUACACCAAACUUGGUUUCAUACUCGGAAACAAAAUGACCGGAUAGGUGCAAGAAAGACGCAAAGAAAAGAAGAAGAUGAAAGAGGAUGAUGAGCUAAAAAUGCUAUGGAAGCUAUUGUGAAGGCAAGAAAAGAAGCGAACAAGGUGAGGAAGAUGGCAAGGAACCAAGAUGCCGCGACUGAGGAGAGGAGGUUGGCGGUUGAGGAGAGGAGGGUGGCGACCGAGGAGAGGAAGGUGGCAUUGGAGGAGAGGAAGGUGGGCAUGGAGGAGCGAUCUAGGUUGUUGGAUUGGGAGAAGUACUUGUUCUUCUUGGACACAUCUAUCCUCAAUGAGGUGCAAAAGGAGUAUGUCAAUCUUGCCCGUGAAGAAGUCUUGAUCCAAAAAAGAGCCAUGGUUCGUGCCAUGGGUGACGGUGGCAUUGGCGGCAUGGGUGGCGGUGGCAUUGGUGGCAUGGGAGGCAUUGGUGGCUUCAGAGCUACCAUGGGCGGCAUGGGUGCCAUGGGUGGCUUUGGAGCUACCAUGAAGACCAUGGGAGGCAUGGGUGGCUUCGGAGCACCUCAGGGUGGCAUUGGCGGCAUGGGAGCACCUCCGGGCGGCAGGGGCGGAAUGUCUUCCGGUGUGCCAACACCUUCGCAUGAUGUCAUUGAAGAUCUUGCCAAAACCGCGUGCGGCACUGAGGAGGAGGAGGAAGUAUCAUCUUCAGAUGAUGAAUCGGAGGAAGAGGAAGACGAGGACGAGGCUUGAUUGUUGAUGGGCCAUUCGUUGGUGUGAACUUUUAUGUCAUGAACUUGGUUCGGAUUUUGAACUUGGUUGGAUGAUGUUGUGGGCAUGAAUUUGAAUUUGUGGGCAUGAACUUUUUAUGUCAUCAUGAACUUGUUUGUGUGAUUUAAAUUAUGCCAUGUCUUUGUUUUGAUGUUUGAAAUUCAUUUCGUGUCCAAAAUGCAACAUAUGGCAAGCCCCGGCUGCUCGUGUGCGCUGCAUUUUAACAUGCCUGCUGGAGCUAUGCGCGUAGUGCAUUUUACAGCGGCCACUAGAGCCAGCGCUGGCUGCCGCGCCGAACAGGCGAUUGGCACGCUGCAAAUGCAUUUUUAGCGCGACGUGCGUUGGGCAGCUGUUGGAGAUGCUCUAAGUUGUGAACCAUGAAGAGCGUGCGGGUCGAGUCGAGAGCACAGAAUCGGUGACUUUUGCUGCUGGUGGUGGCUUCCUGAUCACCGACUCAUGAUGGGAACAGACUGCUAGGCCAUGUAGCUGUGUAGGAACUUCUGAACUACAUGCAUGUCUGCAACGAUGUUACAGGAAGUGGGACCGUCUAUUCAUCAGGUGCCUAAAAAAACUCAUCGCUUCAGUCACUUAUAAUUUAGACCAUCACAUCAAUAUCCAAUGGUUACAAAUGUGUCGUCAUUGUUUAUCCUUUUCCUCCUGCAUGUCCCGCAAGUUCUUCUUCCUCCCGCAGCCACCCAGACUACCCCGCCCUAACCGCCAGCCUACACCACCCGCGGUCGGCGGGCGCUACCAAGCGCCGGCUCACCACUCCGCCCUCCCCUCAAGCUACCCUCACCGUCGUUGUUAGCCACCGCCCCGACCAUUCCUCUAAGCCCCGCUGCAAUAGAGAAGAACUCUGGCAAUUCCCUACCCCCUCCCCCACCCCUAAGAUAGAUAGUGGGGCAAUGGCUUCUCCGAUGAGGUUGGAGGACAAAGGAAGGAAUAAGGUGAAUGAUGCAAGGAAAAAAAAUUGAGGUACCUGAGAAAUAGCAAAAUUGCUCUUCUUUUCGAUAGUCGCGGUAUAUGCUGGAUCCACCCAUAAAUGGAGAUUGGAGAUAAACAUGUCUCCUAUGAGAAAUUCCGUACACUUACACACAACAAUAAGCACUAAGUAAAAUCCGCCAAGGGUGGAAUUGGGCCUGGGGCAACUUGGCCUAUAGCCCUAGGCUUGGCCCAACUAGUAGAUUCUUUGAUAUUUGUAGACUUAUAAGGCCCGGGCCAAGGCAUGCAAGCGCAGCCCAACCCUCACCCCACGUACGUUCUCGGUCCAACAAAGCAAACUAGUCUUUCUGUGGGCUUGGUUCCAUAAGAAUCAAUCAUAAUACCUUAUUGCUACUCCCUCCGUUAACUUCAAUGGAUCGGUAAGCAAGCAUCAUCAAAAGGGUGCCACUAGUGCGGUGUGUUCGAAUGACACAGGUCAAUACAUAGGACCUUAAUGGAAUGACUGACCCGGCAACACUUGAAGCGCUAGCCAUUCGUGAAGCUUUAGACCUAGCCAAUGACCUCAUGUCACAAACAAUAAUGAUAGCAUCAGAUUGCAAAUAGGUGGUGGAUGAAAUUGAUAAGGGCACGUCUUGACCUUACAAUACAAUUAUCACCAAACUAGGAGAGAUUUUGAAUCUUGUUGUUACUCCCAUGAGAGACGUACCUCUAAUAUGGAGGCAUACCAACCCUGUAAAGGGGCUGGCCAGCCGCACAUAACCCCAAGGGGGUGUCCUAUAUGAAGCAAGGGGGGUCGCCGAGCCAUCUAAUGUGGCCACCACCCCCUUCCUCCACCUCUCCCACGUCCUUUGUUUCCUGUUAUUGCCCAGGGCUAACACCGCCCUCUACCUCCGGAUUCACGUUUCCUGUACGUGUGGAUACAUUGCGGGCACACCGCACCAUCUUGAAGACGACAUCGACUACUUCGACAAUUUCUUUCACUAUGUCGACCAGAUCGUUAAGUGGUACAUUUGUGACCUGCACCUUGUAUAUUAUUCGUAGGUGAGUAGUAUAAAUUUUGGUGUAUAGCUAUUGUACCCAACGCCUAUGCCUUUUUAAUUCGCGCGAUUUUAAAAUAACUGGAUUAGGAAAAAGGCAUGGUUACAAUGACACGUCCAUUCAAUUCUGAGACGUGCGAUUUGCAUAAAAGUUUUGGCUUACUGAAUCAAAGAAAAAAAAGAAAUCUUUCCAAGAGGUUUUAGUGGAUGAAAAAUGAGAACAGGCGUUUGGCUCUCGGCCUCCAUGGAGGCCUUUUUCUGGAAAAAAAAAUCAAAAUUUCAACUUUUUUAUUUCAAAAAAAUCUAAAAAAAAUUGUGCAAGUAAACAAGGAUGUUAUGUGAAUGCUGUAAAAUUUUAGGAUGAAAAACGUUGAAAUGCGACCUACACAAAAAAGACAAAUUCAUGGCCUGGGAGGAUGAAUAGUAUCAUGUGUUAAAAAACUUCAGAUUUGUCUUUUUUGCGCAGCCCUCAUUUCAACGUAUUUUGCCCUGAAAAUUUACACACAUGUGUGUUAUGCCUUCAUGUAUAUCUGUGUUUUUUUCAGAAUAUUUUGAAAUGCAGAAAAUAUGAAAAUUGACUUUUUUGAAACAGAGCUCCAUGGAGCUCGGCCUCCAAAGACAAUAUGCGAUGAAAAACUUCUUAUAAAAUGUACACCAAAGGAAUCCUCAGGAAAGUUUUCAAUAAAACCCAAUCCUACAAAUCAAAAAACACACAUAGGCAAGUUCAGAAGGAUUCUAAUUCGCCGAGAUCAGUAAAAAAAUCUUUUGAAGCAAAGUAUGGUUCUGGUCAAUAAAUUUAUUGAUCAAAUCUCUAGGCUUUUAUUUUAAACAAAAUUAAGAGAAAAGAGAAAAGGAAACCUAGAAGAGAAGUUAGAGCAUCUCCAACCACACUUGGCUAAUUUAACCUCCAAUAUAUCUGGGGACGUGUCCGGGCGUGUCAAUGGACAGGAGCAGGCCGACCCCCAUUUCUAUGUCCGGGCAACCACGCAACCCAUUUGCAAACUCUCAAUUUCAUACAAAAGUAUGCAAAGAAGAUUUCAUGCGUAGUUUAUAGAUAUGUAGAUAAAACGAGCUACAACUACAUUCAUAGAGAAGAUUGCAAAUUGAUCAAACUACAAACUACCCUGCACUUCGUCGAAGCUGUCGGCUGAUAAUCCCCAAGUGCAGGGAAUCAUCGUAAGAAUUCCCAAAGGUGAAAGUGAUAAGUAUGGAGUGUCGAACCCACAAGGAGCUAAAGGUAAGAUCAAUAUUCUCUCAAGCCCUAUCUGCCACUGAUAUGACUCUACGUGCACCGAACGUUUGCUUCCAACUAGAAACAAGAAAUAAAACUAUGUUGUGGGUAUAAAGAGGAUAACUUUGCAUGAAAUCAGAGAGCUAAAAUAUAAAAGUAGGUGCUGUUAUCAUAAAGUUUGAAUAUAUUACUAAAUAAUAUAAGUAGCGAGUGUGGAAUAAUGGUGGAUCGGUGUGCGGGAUUGUCCUAAGCAAUUGUUAACAAGAUCGAUAGUUGUCAUUGCAAUUUCAUAUGAGGGAGAGGCAUAAACUAACAUAUUUCUCCUACUUGGAUCAUAUUCUCUUAUGAUUGGAACUCUAGCAAGCAUCCGCAAAUACCAAAGAUUCAUUAAGGUAAAACCCAACUAUAGCAUUAAAGCAUCAAGUCCCCUUUUAUCCCAUACGCAACAACUCCCUUACUCGGGUUUAAGCUUCUAUCACUCUAGCAACCCACUAUAAGUGAAUCAUGCACGUAUUGCAACACCCUACAGCGGGAAUCCCUCACGCUUGCGCGACACGGAGGGCACCAUAGGACAGCACCAAUAAUAAAACAUUCAACUCGUACCAAUCUAGAUCAUCAAUCAACUCAAGGACAAAAGAUAUCUACUCAAAACAUCAUAAGAUGGCAACACAUCAUUGGAUCAUAAUAUGUAGCAUAAAGCACCAUGUUCAAGUAGGGAUUACAGCGGGGUGCGGGAGAGUGGACCGCGUAAAAGAGAUGAUGAUGGUGAUGUUGAUGAAGACAAUCACUGCGACGAUGAUUCCCCUCCCGAUGGCACUCUGGUGCCACCAAGAGAGAGGAGGAAAGGUUCUCCCCCUUGUGCUUCCUGCUCCAUGGCCUCCGGUGAUGAUGGCCCCCUCCGGCAGGGUGCCAGAGAGGGCCUAGAUUGAUUUCUCGUGGCUAUAGAGGCUUGCGGCGGCGGAACUUCCGAUCUAGGUUAAUUCCCGAAAGUUUCAGUAUUUAUAGGAAUUAUUGGCAUUGGUUUCACGUCAGGAAGGUCUCCGGGCUGUCCAUGAGAUAGGGGGGCGCGCCCCAGGGGGGGCUCCCUCUCUUGUGGGCAGCCCGGGACUCUUCUGGCCCAACUCCGAUGUUCCAUGGUCUUCUUUUGGUCAAUAAAAAAUCCUCAAAAAUUGGCACGUCAAUUGGAUUCCGUUUGGUAUCCCUUUUCUGUAAAACACAAAAACAAGGAGAAAACAGAAACUGGCACUGGGCUCUAAGUUAAUAGGUUAGUCCCAAAAAUCAUAUAAAAUGACAUAUAAAUGCUUAUAAAACAUCAUAGAUGGAUAAUAUAAUAGCAUGAAUACUUCAUAAAUUAUAGAUACGUUGGAGACGUAUCAGCAUCUCCAAGCUUAAUUCCUGCUCGUCCUCGAGUAGGUAAAUGAUAAAAGAAAUAAUUUAUGAAGUGUGAAUACUAGCAGGUGCACAAGUUUGAUCAAUGAUAAUUUCAAUCACCUUUUCUAGCAUCAAAAUGUGUCAUAAUAGUAGCUUAUCUCAUAAACUUUUCAUGAUCAAGUAACAAUCUAGUCACAAUGUCAAGCAUGGUUCAGAAACUUCAUUGAGAACUAACAAACUAUAAUCUCAGUCAUUGAAGCAAUUGCAAUUUAUCAUAACAUCAGAAAGAGUCAAGAAUAGAGCUUUUCAGCAAGUCCACAUACUCAACUAUCAUAUAGUCUUCUACAAUUGCUAACACUCACGCAAUACUUGUGGUUAUGGAGUUUCAGCCGGACACUGAGAAAGAUAGGGGCUUAUUGUGUUGCCUCCCAACGUAUUCACCUUUAGGUGAUGUCAACAAUAAUAGCCCAUGCUAANNNNNNNNNNCAAGUCCACAUACUCAACUAUCAUAUAGUCUUCUACAAUUGCUAACACUCACGCAAUACUUGUGGUUAUGGAGUUUCAGCCGGACACUGAGAAAGAUAGGGGCUUAUUGUGUUGCCUCCCAACGUAUUCACCUUUAGGUGAUGUCAACAAUAAUAGCCCAUGCCAACUUACAUCCAAUUGUGUAUAUAUAUAUAUAUAUAUAUAUAUAUAUAUAUAUAUAUAUAUAUAUAUAUAUAUAUCAUGAUCUUUCAAACACGAGGAGCUUGCCAAAGGAUAAAAUAAAAAAAGGGAAAAGGUGAGGAUCACCUUGACUCAAGCAUAAAGUAAAAACACAAAGUAAAAGAUAGGCCCUUCGCAGAGGGAAGCAGAGGUUGUCAUGCACGUUUAGGGUUGAUGCACAAAAUCUUAAUGCAAAAGAACGUCACUUUAUAUUGCCCCUUGUAUGUGGACCUUUAUUAUGCAGUCCAUCGCUUUUAUUACUUCCACAACAAGUUCGUACAAAGCUUAUUUUCUCUGCACUAAUAAGUCAUACAUAUUUAGAGAGCAAUUUUAUUGCUUGCACCGAUGACAACUUACUUGAAGGAUCUUACUCAAUCCAUAGGUAGGUAUGGUGGACUCUCAUGGCAAAACUGGGUUUAAGGGUAUUUGGAAGCACAAGUAGUAUCUCUACUUGGUGCAAGGAAUUUGGCUACCAUGAGGGAGAAAGGCAGGCUCAACAUGUUUGGAAGGUCAAUGACAAUAUACUUUAACUGAGAUGUCGGAAGACAUAAACCAUUACGUUGUCUUCCUUGUCCAGCGUCAACUCUUUUAGCAUGUCAUACUUAAUGACUGCUUCACAAUCAUAAAAGAUGUCCAAGAUAAUAUAUUUUUAUGUGAUACUCUCUUUCCUUAUUACUUCCUAUUAAUUGCAACGAUGACCAAAACUACGUUUACCGACUCUCAACAACUUUUAUGCCUCAUACUUUCUAUGUGUGAAGUCAACACUAACCAUGUUAAAAGCAUAUGAAACAUAUAGAAAUUCAGGUUUAUGACAUUCGAUUCAUUCCCCCAUUUACUCAUAGGAUAUACAUGAAGCACAUGAGUAAAUGACAAACUACUCCAAAAGAUAUGAGUGAAGGACACUGAGUAGUCAAACAAUUAACUAGCCAUGGGAGGGUUCCUUUUUAUUCAAACAGCAAGUAAAACAAAAUAAAAUGGCAUUGCAAGGAUAGCACAACUCAUGUGAAGAAGCAAAAACUUAGGCUCAACCGAUACUAACCGAUAGUUGUUGAAGAAGAAAGGUGGGAUGCCUAACGGGGCAUCCCCAAGCUUAGAUGCUUGAGACUUCUUGGAAUAUUAUCUUGGGGUGCCUUGGGCAUCCCCAAGCUUGAACUUUUGUGUCUCCUUAAUUCUUCUCAUAUCAUGGUUUCUCGUUUUAUCAAAAGCUUCAUCCACACCAAACUCAACAAGAACUCGUGAGAUAGGUUAGUAUAAACCAAUGCAAAACCUUAUCAUUUUCUACUAUAAAAAAUCACUAGAAUUAUUAUUCAACAUUGAAUACUAAAUGCAUAUGCAUAUUUAAUACUCCUAUCCUCAAAUAGAAUCAUUAAACAAGCAAACAUAUGCAAACAAUGCAAACAUAACAGCAAUCUGUCAAAAUAGUACAGCCUGUAAAGAAUGCAAGAGUAUCUAUACUUCCCUAACUCCAAAAAUUAUGAGAGAAAAUUCCCACUGUAGUAUAUUUAUCAUAUCUCAUUAUGCAAAAAGUUUCAACAUUAUAUCAUGCUCUUAAUUUUCUAGGGAAUUUUUGCAACAGCAGUAAACUUUCUGUUUUCAAACAGCAACAUGUAUGCUAGCAAAAUAAGCAUGGUAAAGGCUAUCCUUGACAUUUUUAUUGAAAAUAAAGAUGCAAAACACUAUUCUAAAUAACAGCAAGCUAAUACUAAAAAAAGAAAAUGACGCUCCAAGUAAAACACAUAUCAUGUGACGAAUAAAAAUAUAGCUCCGAGUAAGGUGUACCGAUAGUUUUGAAGACGGACGAGGGGAUGCCUUCCGGGGCAUCCCCAAGCUUAGGAGCUUGAGUCUUUCUUGAAUAUUACCUUAGGGUGCCUUGGGCAUCCCCAAGCUUAGGGUCUUUUCACUCCUUAUUCUCCUCAUAUCGAUAUCUCACCCAAUACUUGAAAACUUCAAUCACACAAAACUUAAUGGAACUUCGUGAGAUAAGUUAGUAUGAUAAAGAGCAAACCAUGCACUUUGGUACUGUAAAAGACAAGGUUCAUAAUUGUUUUCACAUAAUGCUUACCGUACCAUAUCAUUUCUACAAUUUAUAUUGAGAAAUAUAAGCCAUAGAAACUAGAAAACAAGCAAACUGUGCAAUGAAAACAGAAUCUGUCAAAAACAGAACAGUCUGUACUGAACAAUAACCAUACUUCUGCUACUCCAAAAAUUAUGAAAUAAAUUGUUGGACGUGAGGAAUUUGUCUAUUAAUCUUCUUCAAAAAGAAUCAACUCAAAAGCACUCUUAUGUAAAAAAUGACAGCUAAUCUCGUGAGCGCAAAGUUUCUGUUUUUUACAGCAAGAUCACAUUAACUUUCACCCAAGUCUUCCCAAAGGUCUUACUUGGCACUUUAUUGAAACAAAAGCUAUAAAACAUGAUUACUACAGUAGCUUAAUCAUGUAUACACACAAAAAAAGUAAGGGUAAAUAUUGGGUUGUCUCCCAACAAGCGCUUUUCUUUAAUGCCUUUUAGCUAGGCAUGAUGAUUUCAAUGAUGCUCGCACAAAAGAUAAGAGUUGAAACACAAAGAGAGCAUCAUGAAGAAUAUGACUAGCACAUUUAAAUCUAACUCACUUCCUAUGCCUAGGGAUUUUGUGAGCACACAAUUUAUAGGGACAAAAGUCAACUAGCAUAGGGAGGCAAAACAAGUAUAACUUAAAAACUUUAAGCACAUAGAGAGGAAACUUGACAUUAUUGCAACUCCUACAAGCACAUUCCUCCCUCAUAAUAAUUUUUAGUAGCAUCAUGAAUAGCAACUUUGUUCUCAUACUCAAUUGGAACCUCUUCCGAAAUAGUGGAAUACUAACUAAAAUUGACACUCUUCCAAAUGCGCUUUCAUAAAUAUUGUACGAAGAUUCAACACCCUCCAAGAUAGUGGGGUCACUAAUUCCUAAAGUCGACACUCUUCCAAACCCACUUUAAAUUAUAGUAUUAUUCAUACUCCAAAAGAUAUAAGUGAAGUUCCUGGAGCAUUCUACAAUUAAUAUAGACUAGCCAAUAUCCAAGCUCAAAAUAUAUAAGUGAAGCGUACGAAGCAUUCUAUAAAACCAUACUCAAACGAUUUAAGUGAAGCACAAAGAGCAAUUCUAUAAAUCAAUGAAGAGAUAUCUCAUACUAGCAUGAUUCUUAAAGAAAAACAAAAACACAAAGGACACGAAUCAUGUGAACAAAACAAAAACCGAGGUAUACCGAUAUUUGUUGAAGAAGAAAGAUGGGAUGCCAACCGGGGCAUCCCCAAGCUUAGAUGCUUGAUUAUACUUUGAAAUAUUUACUUGGGGUGCCUUGGGCAUCCCCAAGCUUGAACUCUUGUCCCUCUUUAUUCUUCUCACAUCGGUAAAUCCUCGUUCUUCAAACACUUCAUUCACAAAAACUUAAACAAAAACUUGUGAGAUCCGUUAGUGGAAUAAAGCAAACUACCACUUUAAGGUACUGUAAUUAACUCAUUCUUUGUUUAUAUUGGUGCUAAACCUACUGUAUUCCGACUUCUCUAUGGUUCAUACCUCCACAUACUAGCCAUAGAUGCAUCAAAAUAAGCAAACAACACACGAAAAACAGAAUCUGUCAAGAACAGGACAGUCUGUAGUAAUCUGGAAGUUUAGUAAACUUCUGUAACUCCUAAAAUUAUGAAAUAAAUUUGAAAAUUUGAACAAUUUGUACAGAAGUAAUGUGCAAAACGUUUCAGACCCAUUUGACUUUCCAGUAAAAAAUGUAAAUUCAUGCACUACAGCCAAAGUUUCUGUUUUUGUUCUGCACAUAGUAAGCAAGCUAUUUUAUCAUCCUACAACCAAAUCUUGGCACAUUAUUUUUAUAAUACAAAGGAUAUAUACAUGGGGAUAAUUAUUUACAGAGAAACUUCCAUGAAAAAUUCUACAUUGUUUCCGUGAGCAUGAACACAAGUGCUCAAGAUUGACCCUCACUUCUUCAAUGUAUAACUUUCCAAUCACUUUUCUUUUUGAAAAACUUUUUUAGGCAUGAGAGGCAAGUAAAUAAUUUUUGGUAUUUUCAUUCUUUAAAAAAAAUGUAUGUUUCACCCACAACUAAACAGAAACAAAAAGGAAAAACAAAAUCUACUAAGUAAAGAAAGCAAACAAGCACACACGAGAAUAUCAACCCCACGCUAUUGCUCCCCGGCAACGGCUCCAGAAAAGAGCUUGAUAAUCCCCAAGUGCAGGGAAUCAUCGUAGCAAUUCCCAAAGGUGGAAGUGAUAAGUAUGGAGUGUCGAACCCACAAGGAGAUAAAGGUAAGAUCAAUAUUCUCUCAAGCCCUGUCUGCCACUGAUACGACUCUACGUGCACCGAACGUAUGCUUCCAACUAGAAACAAGAAAUAAAACUAUGUUGUGGGUAUAAAGAGGAUAACUUUGCAUGAAAUCAGAGAGCUAAAAUAUAAAAGUAGGUGCUGUUAUCAUAAAGUUAGAAUAUAUUACUAAAUAAUAUAAGUAGCGAGUGUGGAAUAAUGGUGGAUCAGUGUGCGGAAUUGUCCUAAGCAAUUGUUAACAAGAUCGAUAGUCGUCAUUGCAAUUUCAUAUGAGGAGAGGCAUAAACUAACAUAUUUCUCCUACUUGGAUCAUAUGCUCUUAUGAUUGGAACUCUAGCAAGCAUCCGCAAAUACCAAAGAUUCAUUAAGGUAAAACCCAACCACAGCAUUAAAGCAUCAGGUCCCCUUUUAUCCCAUGCGCAACAACUCCCUUACUCGGGUUUAAGCUUUUGUCACUCUAGCAACCCACUAUAAGUGAAUCAUGCACGUAUUGCAACACCCUACAGCGGGAAUCCCUCACGCUUGCGCGACACGGAGGGCACCAUAGGACAGCACCAAUAAUAAAACAUACAACUCGUACCAAUCUAGAUCAUCAAUCAACUCAAGGACAAAAGAUAUCUACUCAAAACAUCAUAAGAUGGCAACACAUCAUUGGAUCAUAAUAUGUAGCAUAAAGCACCAUGUUCAAGUAGGGAUUACAGCGGGGUGCGGGAGAGUGGACCGUGUAAAAGACAUGAUGAUGGUGAUGUUGAUGAAGACAAUCACCGCGGCGAUGAUUCCCUUCCCGAUGGCACUCCGGUGCCACCAAGAGAGAGGAGGAAAGGUUCUCCCCCUUGUGCUUCCUCCUCCAUGGCCUAUGGUGAUGAUGUCCCCCUCCGGCAGGGUGCCAGAGAGGGCCUAGAUUGAUUUCUCGUGGCUACAGAGGCUUGCAGCGGUGGAACUUCCGAUCUAGGUUAAUUCCGGAAAGUUUUAGUAUUUAUAGGAAUUAUUGGCGUUGGUUUCACGUCAGGAAGGUCUCCGGGCUGUCCACGAGAUAGGGGGGCGUGCCCCAAGGGGGGUGGCCCCCUCUCUCGUGGGCAGCCCGGGACUCUUCCGGCCCAACUCCGAUGCUCCGUGGUCUUCUUUUGGUCCAUAAAAAAUCCUCAAAAAUUGGCACGUCAAUUGGACUCCGUUUGGUAUCCCUUUUCUGUAAAACACAAAAACAAGGAGAAAACAGAAACUGGCACUGGGCUCUAGGUUAAUAGGUUAGUCCCAAAAAUCAUAUAAAAUGACAUAUAAAUGCUUAUAAAACAUCAUAGAUGGAUAAUAUAAUAGCAUGAAUACUUCAUAAAUUAUAGAUACAUUGGAGACGUAUCAUCGGCGUCGUGCUCAUUGGCAGCUGGGCGAAUCUAGCGCAUCUCCUCAUCGUGAGGGUCGCUCACAAAGAGCCACUCCCACUUGACAUCGUGGUGGUGGAUUUCGUGUUAGCUCGCCUCCACCACCCACUCGGAGUUGAGGAUGGCACUGUUCUUCAUGACGGGGAUGUGGUCGGGGACGGGCUCGGUGAAGGCGGCAGCGCCUGCGCGCUUGGUCUCAAGUUGCGCCUCCCUCACGAGGUCCUCCGCCUACUCAGCUUGGUUGAGGAAAAAUUGUUCCUCUGUCUCCUCCAUCGAGAGGAGGCGGAUAUUGUCGCCCCUGCUGGCCACAGUGUCGGCCACCUCGAACCCGGUGCUGACGAACCUGAUGGCGGGGUCAAUCUCCACGCUCAACUCCGAAGAGCUUGGAGGUUGUGCGACCGCAAUGCAGGCUAUGCUCCAUGCUUCCACGGUGCGCACCUCCACUACAAGCUUCACGGGGCAUUCCGGCAUGAACAUAUUAUAGUAGGUGAUCUUCUUGUGGACCAUAGAGGAGGUGAGCGACAACGCAUUAGCGAAGUGUACGAGAGGGGAAAGUGAGGAAACAUGGGCAUCUAGGAUUUGGCCUCACCGUCCGGCUUUAAUAGUUGGGUCUUGACUCCUUAGGUGGCGUGCAUGACUCUAUGCCAAUGAAUACGAGCACCAAACCAGUGAGCUCCUCGGCGGAUCAAUGGGUUUCUCCAUGGGUCCGGACGAUCAGUCUGGCGUGGUGGAUGUAGUUGUGGAUGUCCCAAAUCUGGCCUGCAUUUGGACUAGAAUGGGGGUGCUACAUAGCCCAAACAUAUGAGCUUAGUUUGGGGGUUUUGAUUGGGUGGCGCUUUUUAGUUCGGGCAUUGCCCGAGCAGUCUGGCUGAAUAUAUGGGGGUACAUGUCCGGUUAGAGAUGAGGGCAUCUCUAACGUGGGUCACCAAAGCACCCCUAGAUGUCUGAAAUGGAUGGCCAGGACUUCUAGCCAUCCCAGCUCGGAUCAUCAAAUUGUGUCAAAACAUCCAAAAUCCUACGAUGUGGCCCCAAAAUUGGUGAAGUUUCAAGGGAGUCUGUCCACCACGUCGGACUCUGACAGUGUGGCCCCCCAAAAAAUCAGCUCACGCCGAUGCAUUUUGACAAUCCCCCCUCUCCCCACCCGAGCGAUGCUACAUCCACGUUUUUUUAGGGAUAAUCCAAGCUUUAUUAAUGAUCAAAAGCCAAUGUUUGUGGUAUACAUAUUGGACUGUAGGACUGGCCUAGCCACACAUGGCAUCCCGGGCCUGAAGAGAAUGCAUGUUUUGCUAAACUAUGAGCCUCAAUGUUACAUCUGCGGCUUUCAUACAUGAAAUUACACAUAAAAUGAAGAGCUCUACUAUGAAUCUCCUUGAUAACCGUACCAUAUCUUACCAGGUUUUCAGAAUUUAUAUCGCCUACUACUUGCUUUGAAUCAGAUGAGAUGAUUAUCCGCUGGAUAUUCAGGUCCUCCGCUAGUGCUAGCGCUUCCCGGCACGCAAUUGUCUCAAGUGUGGCCGGGUCUGUGCUGCCAUGGAGUACAAUUGCAGAGCUACCAAGGUAGUUACCAUGAUUGUCUCGACACACUGCUGCUGUCGUGCCUCCCCACGAGCGACAUCCGCCAUCAACAUGAAUCUUGGUUGAUCCUGCCGGGGGUGCCAUUGGGCGAGCUGUUCUACUCGCUUGAAGUGCCGUAUUUCUCCCUUGACCUGAGCUUCUUUCUUUGAUGACUUCCAGGUCACUCAAAUAUCUCUGAAUAAAAGAGUGCAUACUUUGCGGGCUUUGGAAGAUGCCCUCAUGGAUUGCUUUCCUUCGUGAAGACCAGCCCAAAGUGUUACUGAUAUCUUAAUGAACUCCGCAUGUGGUAACGAUUCCAUCAGUGAAAAUAGCCAAGACUUUGCAUUAGGGCCAGCGGCUGCUAUUAUACUGUUCGUCGUCUCUUCAUCAGCAAGUGCCCAGGUACACCUUGCCACAGUGCAUUCUAGGAGCAAGUGCCUCCAUGAAUCAGGUCCUCCGCAUAGCGCACAUGAGCUUGUAUUGGACAUAUGUUUAUGAGCUCGAACAUCCUCCGUCGGAAUAGAGUGUUUUGAUAACCGCCAAAGGAACAUCUUGAUUUUCCCAGGUACCUCAGUGUUCCACAGCCUCUUCCAUGAUCCUUCUUCUCUGAUUGAACUCGAGGACCCGGUUGUACCCUCCAGCCAAGCCUCCCUUCUCCGUCUCAUUGUGACUAACAUGUUGAACGUUGAUCUCACGGUGAGAAGACCCGAGCGUUCAGAGCUCUAGCUCCAGUAGUCUUCCACAUUCUGCAUGCAUAUAGGAAUGUUCAAGAUCACCCAGGCAUCCAUCGGCAUAAAUACUUGCCUCACUCGCUCUAUAUUCCAUGUUGCCAAUGUCGUAUCUAUCAAUUCAGACACCAGCUCCGUAGGGUUAGCUUAUAUACACCCAUAAGGUCGAAGCAUUUCAUCCCUCGACAACCAAUUGUCCACCCAGAUUUUUGCGCUUUGACCAUUGCCAAUACGCUUUAUCAAGCCUUGCUUCAUCACAUCUCUUCCUUCCAGGAGAACCCGCCAUAUUUGACUCGGAUGGUUACCUAUGGUCGCCUCCAAUAUAGUGGUGUUUGAAUAGUAAAUGCUUCUGAGCAGCCGAGCACUUAAAGAUCCAGGUUCUUGUAAGAUAUGCCAAGCCUGUUUCGCCAACAUUGCCAUAUUGAAAAGCUCAAAGUCCUUAAAACCCAGACCCCCCAUAGCUUUGGGUUGGGUCAUUUCCUUCCAUGAAACCUAAUGUGGUUUAUGGUGCCCGUCCUUGCUGCCCCACCAAAACUUCCUUAUGAGCAUGUUAAGGUGCUCGCAGAGGCCUCUAGGGAGUUUAAAACAAGACAUAGAAUACACAGGAACUGCUUGAGCAACCGCUUUAACCAAUACCUCCUUCCCUGCAGUGGAUAUUGUGCUCUCAAUCCAACCCUGAAUUUUACUCCAAAGCCGGUCCUUUAAGUAUUUGAAGGCACCAUUUUUUGAGGCACCAAUGUCCGAAGGCAUCCCCAAAUAUUUUUCGUUUAGAGUCUCAUUUGGCACAUUGAGUAGCCCUUUAAUCUCAUCUCGGACAGCUUCAGGGACCCCCUUGCUGAAGAAAAUCGAUGAUUUGUCAUGGUGGAUUCUCUGUCCAGUAGCCUGACAAUAAGCAUCCAACACCUGGUUCACCUCAUUAGCACCCAUACCAUUAGCCUUGAAGAACAACAUGCUAUCAUUUGCAAACAAUAAGUGGCUGCGCCACUUGCAACCGAUGAAGAUUUGAUGACUCACUUUUAGAUUUUGGCAGGCACGAAAGGCCCUCUACUGCAAUCAAGAACAGUUAUGGUGAAAUCGGAUCACCCUGUUGAAUACCACAAGAUGGCUUGAACUGCUCGAGUUUCUUCCCAUUAAACAAAACUGAGAACUUCACUAAGCUUAGCAAUCCCAUGACUAUCUGCACCCAUUUUCCUUGAAACCCAACUUUAGCAUUAUAGCUUGCAGAUACGCCCAUUCAACUUUGUCAUAUGCUUUCGCCAUGUCAAGUUUUAGAGCGCAGUGUUGAUUUUUCUUUGCCUUAUUCCUUUUCAUGAAGUGGAGACAUUCAUAAGAAGUAAUAAUAUUAUCCGAGAUCAGUCUCCCUGGCACAAAGGCCGAUUGUUCCUCCGAAAUAAUGUCAGGCAAAACAAGCUUCAGCCGGUUCAAAAUAACUUUUGAUGCUAUCUUAUAAAACACAUUGCACAAACUUAUCGGGCGGAAUUAUGCAAGGAGAGUUGGGUUUUUUACCUUAGGGAUCAACACCAGCAUAGUCUCAUUAAUGCACUCGGCUGACUCCGUGCCUUCCACUAUUCUUAUGACUGCUCUUGUCACUUCCUCCCACAAACAUCCUAGUGUCGCUGAAAAAAGUGUGCUGGAAAACCGUCCGGUCCAGGUGCUUUUGUUGGGUACAUCUGAAAAAGAGCCUCCUUCACUUCCUUUUGGUUGUAUGGUGCAUUCAGAUUUAAGUUUAUUUCUUCUGUUACCUUGCGUGGGACAGUAUCAAGGACCUGGUGCAUAUUAUGCACUCCAUUGGAAGUGUAUAACUCCUUAUAGAAAGCUGUCGCCAUCGCCUCCAUCUCUUCAGCUUCUUCUGUCAUUUGCCCAUCCUGGCGAUGAAGUGCUUUUAUACUAUUCUUUCUUCUCCGACAGCUCUCCCUUAGGUGAAAGUAAUAGGUAUUCUUAUCACCAUGUUGAAGCCAAUCCAACCGAGCUUGCUGCCUCCAUAGGAUUUCUUCCCUAUGAUACAACUCGACAAGCCUGUCGGUGAUCUUUAUUUCAACAAGAUUGGGCCCUUGUCCAACACGCGAAGAGCGUAGCCGGUCCAGCUCGGAUUUCAAGUGUGCAAUUUCUAGUCUCACCGAUCCAAAAUGCGUGCGAUCCCACGCCAUCAGGUUUCCGCACAUUUUGCUUAGCUUAUCCCGUACAUCCGCUACUGUUCCACCUUCUUUCUCUUUCCAUCUCGUUCCAACUAAAUCAAAAAGAUCUGGAUCACGCUCCCACAUCAGUUCGUACAUAAAAGUUCUUGUAGGUUUCUUGGCUGAUUUCUUAUCAGAGAACUUUAGAAGUAUUGGGGUGUGGUCAGAGGACGCUGCAGUUUUGUGCUCAGGAACUGGUGUAGGAAAAGCCAUACACCAUGCUGGAUUUGCCAAACAUCUGUCUAGCCGUACUCUCGUGUACGUUCCUCCUGCGACCUUCUUCUCGAACGUCCAGCAGCCUCCUUUGUAUCCAAUAUCCAUGAGGCCGCAGGUGUCCAUCGCAUCGCGGAACGCAUCCAUUUGUGCUUGGCUGCGUUGCCCCACUCCAUCAUGCUUAGAGCAUGCAGGACUUCAUUAAAAUCCCCAAUGACCGCCCAUGGGAGAUUGCUAUUGCUUGCAAUCCCUCUCAACAUAUCCCAUGUCAUAUAUCUAUUCUGUACUUGUGCCUCACCAUAGACAAACGUGACACGAGUCCUGCACUUCACCAUAUCAUCUAUCAGUGCAUCAAUAUGGUUCCUCAAGUAACCGACAAUCUCAACCUUUAUUAAUUUAUUCCAAUAAAUACAAAGACCACCACUUCUACCAUCACUGCUUACUGCAAAACUACAUUCGAAACCUAUUGUGUUUGCUAGAUUCUCAACUCUCGUACCCUCUAACUGAGUCUCAACAAUGCAUAAUACAGAGGGGGCAAAUAGCUUCGUCAACUCACGAAGCUCACGAACUGUCGCGGGUGUGCCAACCCCGCGACAGUUCCAUACUAGGAGGCUCAUUGUGCCCGGCGGCGCUCCUCGGAGGAUCCAUCCGAUAAUGCAACAUGUGAUUGAUUAACAGGGCCUUCAGAAGUGUCGUGCUCAUCUUCAUCUCCCUUGUCUUGCAGCUAUUUGUGCCUUUUAUUUUGUUUCCAGGGAUAUACAUACACUAGUGGUAAUGGGGGCACCGCCGCAGUAGAGGUGAGCACCAUCACAAGGGAGUUGUCCACUUGACCACUUUCCCCGCCUGCUGCCUGCGAGGACGAGCUAGGCCUCGAGUCGUUCUCCACUGACGGUCGCUUGCAUGAAGCAAGCACGCCUUCCUUCAUCUUGUCUCGGACAUUCCUCGUUCCAUCUGCCCCAUCAAGAUUACCACUGGGCUUUUCUGCUAUCACAACCUGAACUCCCGGCUUUGUCACUUCCUCUGUUGGUGCCCUGGCAAAGUUCUGGUUCUGUUGUUGCGCAUUGAAGCGCUAGCUCUGAUUGGGGUUAUAGGGUUCCCUCCCUCUACCUCGGCCCCCCGUCCUUGUAAUGAUUGGGAUUAUAGGGUUUCCUUCCUCUACCUCGGCUACAUCCACGUAAUGAUUUACAUAAUGUUACGGGUUGAUCUGAUGUGGGAAUGUUUGAUUGGAUCAGGGGGAGGGGGAGGCCCAUCCCGCCUGAAAAUCAGGGCGGGGGGGUGCUAGUUAGCGAUGGUAGUUUAAGUAACAGGCACGUAGCCUUUCGUAGGUAUAGGAUUUUCGCUCCCCACCCCAAACUAUAUCUGGCCAUGGGUCGGGCCGGGCCGGGCUUGGGCCGGGCCUAAAAAAUCCCACGGCAGAAAACUGAGGCCCAGGCCCUCCCAAGCCCUAUCACUGGGCCUACUUUUCAAGCCCAAGCCCGACCCAUCUGGUAAAAAGCCCUUAGGGAUUAGGGCCAUGGGCCGGGCCUCUUCCUUAAAAUGCCAAUAUGCCAAGCCCAAGCCCGUCUAGACCCUAUUGGUGGGCUCAAAAUUCAGGCCCAAGCCCAGCCCAUGGGUAAGCCCAUCGGGCCUAGGCCCUGGAUUUUAGGGCCGAGCCUAGGUGGGCCGACAGGGCCGGGCCUGAGAUGGCCAGGACUACCCCAAACCCCUCACUCUCCGCCAUGAUAGCCGCGUUGUCCCCGCCCAUUUCGGCUCGUUCCGCCAUCCACGUCCGCCGUGAUGGAUCCGCCGGUGCCCAUCAGGAGGUCCAUCGUCCCGCCAAACCUGAAGGCUGAAGCCCGUCCGCCAAGGGCGUCUGCACAGAUGAAGAAUCCGAAGACUAUCGAAAGACUAUCAAACGCAUGGACAUUUGAUGAGAUCCAUUUGGUGAUCAAUGUUGGAGAUGACCUUUAGCACCAAAGCAAAGACAAAUGCUGGCCAGAAAACUCGACUGCACGGACAAGCGAAGAAAUUAAGCAAAGAUAAUCGACAGCGUCUGACUGGUCUGAGGAAUGUUCCUCCUCAGACUACUGUAGGGAAGAGUUUCCCUUUUACUAUUCCAUAGUGCCACACGGACCCACAACCUUAUCACAUCGUCCACUCCAGUGAUAGAUAAUUAGAGACCACAAAAAAGUUAAAGGUAGGCAGUGUCGCACGGGAGCACAAAGAAGUCGACCUCGGAGAUGGCGGUGUCCGGCGACGUAUGGCCGAGGAGCUUGAGCAGGUAGUACCCGCGCGCCAUCCUGAACUUGUCGUUGCCGCCCAUGAUGCUGCGCUCGGAGGUGCCCUAGAAGCCCUGGAAGGAGCCCUCCACGGAUAGCGCGCUCCCGUCGUGCUCCCCGGCGACGAACACGACUGUGGUGACCGUCAGGUGGCCCUGCAACGCCUGCCCCGUGGAGACGAUGAUGCCCUGGUACCGCGCCACGAGCGGCAAGUCCCGCUCCUGGCCGGUGCGGAGCUCGUCGUCGAACACGGCCACCUGCCUGAACAUCGCGUUGGCACCAAAGGGGGACGGCACGAGGAGGCCCUCCGUGGCGUUCGGGCUCGAGAACGUCUCGUGCAUGUACAGGUGGAUGUGCUUCAGCUUGCUCUUUGCACUGCCGCCGCCGGCCGCGAGUACGGCUGGUAUGACAAGGAAGAGGAGGAGGAGUGACGGUAUCGGCGACAUAGUGGUUUGCUGAAUGAGUUCUGUUGCUGCUGUCGCCGUUGGCUCGUCAUUCUGCUUUUGUAGUAGGAAGAAAUCUCCCGACGUGGAUUUUUGGGACAUGGUGCCACGCGAGGAUGAAAUCUCGGCAGUCCAUGCAUGCUGUGAGAUUAGCACUUAAUAUAGUGAUAAAAUGAAUACUGAACGCCACAAUAGGCUAAUUCGGCAAAUAUGUGUAUAUUAGUUGGUGGUUGGGCAUCUUAAAUGAAUUGGAUAGUAUGACCAAACCUUUAUUCAUUAACUUCUCUAUGUUGCUGGGCUGGGGAGAGGCAGCAUCUUGAUCAGACCAUUUAAGAUGGCUGGUGUGAAAUGCUGGUGAGGUCUAACAUGAUUAUGAUGAAAUUUGACUUUUGUUAUGUUAGAGUGAUUUAAUUUGAUGCAUGUUUUUUUUCUUUCUAUGACAUGCAUUGUUAGUAUUCACUUAGUCACUUGCUCACCAGUGGCAUAAUUGGGAACUUGGGGUUCACAUGUUUUGUCCCACUCCUAAAUAGGUUUCAACUACAACACAGUAAGCACAUGACCAUACAAACAUUCGGCUUGUGAGACGACUAACUGCAAACUGAGUUUUUUUUAUGAAUUUGCAAUGAAAUAUGAAUUGCAAGUUGAAGGAGAAAAAUAAUUUCAUGUUAUUUUUUUGACCCUUCAAGAUUUGUAAGAAAGUGAAUUUCGAAGAACAUUAACUAAGACAUAUGUGUUUUAAAAUAUAUUUUUGAAUUUUUUUCAAAAUAGAUUUUUUAAUAGGUAGUCAAUGAAAUUACGUUAAGAAAUUACCAUUCCGACUUAAAAGUGCUUAAGCAAUCCAAUUCAUACAAGUUUUUAUGCUAAUCCAACUAUAUAGUUCAUCUGAGAUGUUUAUUGUUUUAUAAUAUUGAUGCCACGGUCUGUGUCAAGCAUUAAGGAGGGUGCAUGCAUUAUCAAUGCACUGGCAGAAUAUUAAUUCACCAACAGCAUGCAUCUGCACCAUUUAAAUCGGUGGAGUUUCGCCAGCUAAUGUUCUGUUCUCUGUUAUCCCAACCAGGACAGGCUAGUGAAGCAGUAAAUAACAAUAAUUUAAGUGUGCUACAGGUAGCCAUUGUAAUUAAUGAGGGAUUCAAUGUGUCUGACUUUGUUGCAUGCGACUGACUUGUGGGACAUAUGAUUGCGAUGGCAUAGCUAAUACAGAAACAAUACGCUGCCGACAAAUCAAUAUACAAGCUUGUUGUACAAUAAGUGCACGAAUCACGUGGGAGCGAAUGGUGUUGAUUUCCUCCUCGCGUGGCACUAUAUUCACUCGUGAUUUAUCGGAAAUCUCCCCACUUUCCCAUUUGCGAACGUCCAGCUAUAAUUCUGAGAUCGGUGGAGUGGGGCUCACAUGGCUGGUUGGCUGGCGUGGGACAGGGUGAACCGGAGAAGCAAUAAUGCAGCGUGGCGGGGGGCGCCUCAGCUCAAGAAAAUAGCGCUCAGAGCACUGCAACCACCGUCGCCAAAUGUGGCAUUAUCUGCCGGCGUGUUUGGUUGCAGCAGUGAACAGUAGCUGCAUUGCAUACACAUCUCAACCCAAUCUGCUUGAAAGAAACAGUUCUAAAUGUGUCAUCUGCAAGUUGUUUGGUUGCCUGCAUAUAGGGUCCCUGCAUUAGGUACGCAAAUGCACUUUGUUUGGUUGACUGCAUUGGCCCAAGCAGCAAAUGGACAAGGUGUUUGUUUGGUUGCAUACGGCAUACAUGGUGUGCUUACCUUGUACCCUAGUUGAUGAGAUUACCCACAAUGAUCACGCCUAGCAAAUCAACGUCACAGCACAGCAACGACGAUGAACUGGGCGAAGAUGAUGAAGUUCUUCAGCUUCAGUCCAAACUGAGGAUCCACCUUAGCACCUUCCACUUUGACACCUCCAACCUUGCCACUGUCAACACUGCUGCCUCCGUGCUUUCGCACCCAGUUGGAGUAAGCUUGUUCUGCUGCCUGCCUAGACUUGAACCCGUUAUGGUUGCUGUUGCUAUACGAUGCCACUUGUGCACUGGCUUCUUCCCAUGAACUGUAAACCCCUGGAGCCUUACCGAUAAAUACGGCAUACCACUUGCCUUAGCAAUGCAUAAGAGCAAGAGUUGAGGUAGCAAAUCAAUGAAGCACACAAGUAGCAAGCAAAGUAGCACACAAACGAUAAUGAAGCAGAAAAGAAGAAGUAAAGCAUGGAUGACCGUACGACAUAUCAAGUUCUACCUAGCACUACCAUGUUGUUAUCCUACCACCACAUCCAAAAAAGGGUGUUGUCCUACCACCGCAAGUUCACCAUCAUCAUGAGAGGUUAGUAUAUACCACCUUACCAAAAUAUACAGACCAUCAAAUAGUUUUCCAGCCCUAGCUACACAAAAUGUACGUCGUCAUCGUCAUCGUUGUCGUCGUCGCCACCGCCAUCGCCAUCGCCAACGGGGAUCAUGCACGCUCACAGGCAGCACUACUCUAGUAGUAGUGCUUGCCCAACCAGCUCCUGAGCCACAGCACCCUGUGAGCGUCUGCCAUGGCAGCGAACCCAACACACCGGGCCUUGUUUUCAAGCAGGUGGCUGGGAGCUGCCAUGAGAACCUCGUCGCCGAAGCCACCCUGGGUCAUGACAGCGCCAUACAGGUCAGGGUGGACGUCGAGGGGCUUGCACUCCUUGAUGCCUGUUGCCACCUCCUUCACCGCCUCAGUCAUGCCGUAAAAGACAUUGAUCUCCUCAUCCAUCAGGCCUCCUAUCUUCCUCUUCCUAUCAUGGAUGGGUUCGAAGGGCUUGUCGAAGGGCUUGUCAGGCCAUCAAGGACCUCGACGUCCGGGGUCACUACAAGAAAUAUGUCAACUAGCGACCUUCUGUCAGUGACCCUGGAAGAAUUGGUCAUAGAUCUAUGACCAUUUAAGACCAAUUGGUCAAAAGCUGUUCGGGGGGCUCCAAACCCUAAACCAUUGCGACCAUUUUGGUCAGAAAGGUCAUAAUUUCCUUAUAUGAAAUGGUCGCAAAGCAAACAGUGCUAGUCCGAUGCCUUAUUUCUAGUUUUUAGUGACCAAUAUAGAUGGUCAUAGCCUUGUAGAUUGUGGUGGGUUGUGAUGACUAGGCGCCAUCUCAUCAGUUUUGCCUAUGUGUCAUGUCCAUGUGGCAGUUUUUGCCCUAGGUUGUGAAGCAACCUAUAUUUUUGUUAUUCCCAAAAUUCCCAAAAAAAAUCUCAUAAAUGUUUUGGAUCAUAUCUUCAUCAAAUAUGUCAAAAACAUUCCUUGCCUAGUUCAAAAAUAAUUCGAAAAUAUUCAUUUUCCUAUUCUGUUCAGAGCAGCACUUUGUGAAGGAAGUACCACUUUGGCAUGUCCAAAUAGUAUCCAUUUUCUACAGUGCUUUCCUAUGCCCAAAUAACCAUCCUCCACCAAAUUCCAGCUCAAUCCAUUCAUUAUUUUGAGCCGAGCUUCAACAUUCGUAUUUAUGUCCAGUGUAGUACUUUGUAAAGCAAGUACCACCUAGGCUCCUCCUUUUUAGGUGAAAAUUUGUGAAGACGGUCUUCUUAGUAACUGAUCAUCCUCAGCCAAAACUCACGCCCAUUAGCCAUGUGCAUUUCUCGUACCGCAAAUCAAACACUUGGCUGCUUAUUCAUGUUUGAGCAUCGAUCGGUCUCCUCGUGAGAAUCUUAUGUUGUGAUUUUCUUCCUAGCACCUACCUGGGGAGUGCCCAGCCCACUAUACAUACCUAGGCCGCCCAGAACACAUGGCAACGCCACGAUCACGCGGUGACCACGCGGCGGGCAUGCGAGUUUCCGCGCUCUAGAGUUGGGGCCCUCGGCCACCGCCCAAACCUCGACGUAUCGCCACCAAACCAUGUAUUUAUGAUUAAAUAGGUACUUAUGUAACUAGAAAUGAUUUUUGGAAAAAAUAAAUAGCAAACUAUGAGGCAGCUGUAGUUCAAAUUUGACCCGCUUCCAACUGAAUCUGCGAAAUUUGUCUUUUUCACGAGAGGUGGAUCAAAACUUUUUGCACCCAACCAUUUUGUCAAUUGUGCACUAAAUAUGUCCUAGUAUUUUAGAAAAUUGAUUUGGUCCAAUUUUGCGACAAUUAUUUGGGAGGUCCUUCACACAAAAAAACCCUCCUUUUGGGCACUCGGAAAAUGAAAAAUGGUUUUUUCGUCCAAAGAAAAUGAAAACUUCCUUAGGAAAAAUUGUUUGCCAUUCCAAUAUGCACCCUUGUGCACAAUAUGAUAUAAUUUGAACAAACUAUGCCACAAAUGUGGCCAUAAGAUUGAUCAUUUGGCUUGAAAGCCAUGAAUCUUCAGAGAUGAUAGCUCAUUUCUGAGAACACUUUUUUAAAAUGAUUGCCGUAUUACAAGUUUGUUAUUUUUCCUGGGAACUUGGCCACAUAUAAUGACACAAUGCGAAGGAUUCCCAAUUUUUUUAUUUUUUUUUAUUUUUUUAUACCCGUUUCAAAAUGCGGUCAAAACGGCGGGAAUGACCGUUCCUAGCUAGUGGUUGAAUCUUGGAAUUUUUUUGGUGUUUCUCUGAUUAAAUAGGUACUUAUGUAACUAGAAAUGAUUUUUGGAAAAAAUAAAUAGCAAACUAUGAGGCAGCUGCAGUUCAAAUUUGACCCGCUUCCAACUGAAUCGGCAGAAAUUUGUCUUUUUCACGAGAGGUGGAUCGAAACUUUUUGCACCCAACCAUUUUGUCAAUUGUGCAUUAAAUAUGUCCUAGUAUUUUAGAAAAUUGAUUUGGUCCAAUUUUACAACAAUUAUUUGGGAGGUCCUUCACAAAAAAACCUCCUUUUGGGCACUCGAAAAAUGAAAAAUGGUUUUUUUGUCCAAAGAAAAUGAAAACUUCCUUAGGCAACAUUGUUUGUCAGUCCAAUAUGCACCCUUGUGCAUAAUAUGAGAUCAUUUGAACAAACUAUGGCACGAAUGUGGCCAUAAGAUUGAUCAUUUGGCUUGAAAGCCAUGAAUCUUGAGAGAUGAUAGCUCAUUUCUGAGAACACUUUUUUAAAAUAAUUGCCCUAUUACAAGUUUGUUAUUUUUUCUGGGAACUUGUCCACAUAUAAUGACACAAUGCAAAGGUUUCCCAAUUUUUUGAUUUUUUUUGAAUUUUUUAUGCCCGUUUCAAAAUGCGGUCAAAACGGCGGGAAUGACCGUUCCUAGCUAGUGGUUGAAUCUUGGAAUUUUUUUGGUGUUUCUCUGAUUAAAUAGAUACUUAUGUAACUAGAAAUAAUUUUUGGAAAAAAUAAAUAGCAAACUAUGAGGCAGCUGCAGUUCAAAUUUGACCCGCUUCCAACUGAAUCGGCAGAAAUUUGUCUUUUUCACGAGAGGUGGAUCGAAACUUUUUGCACCCAACCAUUUUGUCAUUGUGCAUUAAAUAUGUCCUAGUAUUUUAGAAAAUUGAUUUGGUCCAAUUUUACAACAAUUAUUUGGGAGGUCCUUCACAAAAAAACCUCCUUUUGGGCACUCGAAAAAUGAAAAAUGGUUUUUUUGUCCAAAGAAAAUGAAAACUUCCUUAGGAAACAUUGUUUGCCAGUCCAAUAUGCACCCUUGUGCACAAUAUGAGAUCAUUUGAACAAACUAUGCCACGAAUGUGGCCAUAAGAUUGAUCAUUUGGCUUGAAAGCCAUGAAUCUUGAGAGAUGAUAGCUCAUUUCUGAGAACACUUUUUAAAAAUAAUUGCCCUAUUACAAGUUUGUUAUUUUUCCUGGGAACUUGUCCACAUAUAAUGACACAAUGCUAAGGUUCCCAAUUUUUUGAUUUUUUUUGAAUUUUUUAUGCCCGUUUCAAAAUGCGGUCAAAACGGCGGGAAUGACCGUUCCUAGCUAGUGGUUGAAUCUUGGAAUUUUUUUGGUGUUUCUCUGAUUAAAUAGAUACUUAUGUAACUAGAAAUAUUUUUUGGAAAAAAUAAAUAGCAAACUAUGAGGCAGCUGCAGUUCAAAUUUGAGCCGCAUCCAACUGAAUCGGCGGAAAUUUGUCUUUUUCAUGAGAGGUGGAUCAAAACUUUUUACACCCAACCAUUUGGUCAAUUGUGCAUUAAAUAUGGCCUAGUAUUUUAUAAAAUUGAUUAGGUCCAAUUUUGCAACAAUUAUUUGGUUGGUUCUUCACAAAAAAACAUUUUUGCCACUCAAAAAAUGAUUAAAAAUAGCUAGAAAUAUGAAAAAUGCAUACAAAUUGGUCCUAAUCCAUAAAAUGUGGUCUAACUCUAGUGAAAGUUUGUGUGGUGCCCUUUUGCAAAAUAUUUUUGAUAGCUACUUCAUAAAAUCCCUCUAUUUUUAGUAUUUGAAAACUAUUUUACAUCACUGAUUUUCUGAACCAAUCGUAACUCUGUCCACGGAUCGAUGACAUGGCGUCCAUCCAUCCAUCCAUAUCUCCAUCCCACAUCCAUCCAUCCAUCUAUCUACAAAAAAAGAAAAAAAGAAAAGAAAAGGAGAUACCCCCACCCGCAGGCCAAACCCUAGCUCAGAUCCCCCCGUCGCCCCCUUCCUCCCUCGUCCCCAUCUCCUCGCCGCUGCCCCCUCCCCGAUCUUGAUCUGCCGCCGUCCCCUCCUCGAUCUCGAUCUGCCGCCGCCCCCACCGCCACCAUCGACGACCCGGCGUCCCCAUCGCCCCCGCCGCCCUCUACUCCACAGCCGGCGCCCCUACCCUCUCCUUGUCCCCUCUCCNNNNNNNNNNNNNNNNNNNNNNNNNNNNNNNNNNNNNNNNNNNNNNNNNNNNNNNNNNNNNNNNNNNNNNNNNNNNNNNNNNNNNNNNNNNNNNNNNNNNNNNNNNNNNNNNNNNNNNNNNNNNNNNNNNNNNNNNNNNNNNNNNNNNNNNNNNNNNNNNNNNNNNNNNNNNNNNNNNNNNNNNNNNNNNNNNNNNNNNNNNNNNNNNNNNNNNNNNNNNNNNNNNNNNNNNNNNNNNNNNNNNNNNNNNNNNNNNNNNNNNNNNNNNNNNNNNNNNNNNNNNNNNNNNNNNNNNNNNNNNNNNNNNNNNNNNNNNNNNNNNNNNNNNNNNNNNNNNNNNNNNNNNNNNNNNNNNNNNNNNNNNNNNNNNNNNNNNNNNNNNNNNNNNNNNNNNNNNNNNNNNNNNNNCCUCCCCUCCAAGGGCCCGCCGUCGAUGAAGGCCGGAAAGGCCGGCUUCGAGGGCCCGCAGGAGGCGCAGCACCGCAUCCGCAUCACCCGCAGGAGGCGCAGCACCGCAUCCGCAUCACCUAAGCGUCAAGAACCUCGAGAAGGGUGAUGAUGAUGGGUGGAUCUCGUCGAUCCGCACCUCCUCACCCACCACAUCGCCGGAUCCGCGACAUGGGAAGGUGUCCACGAGCUCCGAAGCUCCCCUCUGCAUCGACUACGGCCACCAGUUCAAGCUGGGCGCCCCCACAUCACCGGAUCCGAGCUUCUUCCCCGUCGGCCGCCGCGCGCCUUCCCUUGUCGAUCCGCGUUUCCCUCGCUGCUCCGAUGUCUCCGGCCUCCCCGAGCUCGUCAUCCGCACCGCGGUGAGCCCCUCAGCCGAUCCCCCUGUUUGGCAUUAUCAAUCGAUCAGCAUGUGGAAUUUUGGGCUCUGAUUAUUCUGAGAGAGGGAUGGUACCAUCUCCAAAAUACAUUUGCUUUCCAUUGAUUUGAACACCUGUUAUGUGUCGUGAUCUCAGUGCGGCUCCACCAUUUUUUUUCUUCAAAUUUCUAUUCUUCUACUUACAAACUACUAAAUCUGUGAAGUGACCUAAAAUGUCUUGCAUUUGAUUACAUAGGGAGUAGCAGACAAGUGGAUAUGCCAGUUUGAUAAUUAGUACUUGACCAUAAUAUUUAGGUGGUUAUAUGCAGCUUUGUUUUCUGACUUGUUUCUCUUAGCAAGUAAUCAUUUGUAAUGAUGUACCAAGUUGUCUCAUUCAAUUUUUGUACAUUUCAUAUUAACCCAGAUGGACAUGGAUCAACAGAGAUAAUAUUAUUACAGCAUGUUGAGGCAGAGAACUACAUCUGUUAUAGUUCUUCUCUUGGCUCUCUAGUUUAGAAACAGAGAUGUAGUGUUAUGUUUGUAUGCUGAUCUAGACUGCUUCCAGUGCACUUGUUUAAUCAUUUCAAAUGGUUUAUGUUGGUGACCUAUCUGCAGGUCAUGGGGAAGCAAAAGCUCAGUGUCAAGACUGGGGAGGACUCCAAUCCUCGUGACUAGAUGGUGGCAAUGGUGGAUCUGCAACUGCUCACUGACUUUCCACAUGAUUAGAUGGAUCUGCAACUGCUCAACUGUUUAGUACUAUGAUAUAUCUUUUAUUUCUAGUUCUUAUAAUCAUUAUAGGGCAGUAAAUUGGCUGUAUGGGCACUUCUUUGUUGUUAGCUGUUAGCCAAGAGAUUAACUGUCCUGGUUGAAGUUCAUAGCCCAGAGGAUUUUAGCUGUUAGCUGUUAGCCAAUAGAUCAAUUGUCCCUCUUCCAUGCUUCUGCUCUGCUAUUCCAAUUUUUGCCUUUUGUGUUCCCUCUUUUACUAGUACAGUAGUUUAUUAGUACAUGUAUAUAUGGUAGCCGAAAUCCACUCUUUGAUACUGAUGUACUGAGCACUAGCCGUAGUAGUUCAAUUUACUAGUAUAUCGUGGCCCGUUAUUUAUGUUGUGGUCUGAUUAGUUGCAACUGUUGUACUGAUGUGUUGGGGAUUGAUUCCUUGAGCUCCUUGUUUCAUGUUGACAUUUGCACUUGUGCGAAAAGAAAAACUGAAGCAAUUGCUUGCAUUCCUUACUACAAUUAGUCUUCGAACGGACCAGUUAUAACAAACGUGUCUGCUUUUCUUUUUAGUGUAGUUCUCUUUACCGUGUUCCUAAUGAUUGUCAUGUAUGAAUGUGUUGCAGGCAUCUUGCAUACCAUAUUCUCGUGGGUGGGUGCAGCGAGGGGCUGGGCAAGCGCGGUGCACAGUGGAUGGAGGUCAUCUCGUGGGAGCCCAGGGCGUUCGUCUACCACAACUUCCUAGUAAUCACUGCUGCUGCUGCCCACUCUGCCUUCCCUUCAACACCCAUAAUCACUGCUGCUGCCGCCAUGGUUCAUUCAGUCCUGCACCUGCUCAUGCAUGCACACUGUCCCGUGUUUGUAACUAUUCUAGUUACUAUGAACAGCAAGCAACCAUUCUAGUUACUACCUAGGUGUUCACAGAUUGUUGUAUUAUUUAUGUUCUUUUUACUCCCAGAGUUAUUGUUCACAUUGCCUGUUUUUCUUGGUGCAUACAUGUAUCUCAAGCAUUGCACUUAUGUGUUUGCUUAGGCGGAUAGUGGGCAGAUCUACUUUGCUGCUUUCCUGCUUACGUUAGUGUUGCCAUUGCAUUUGUUUGGUUCUGGCCUCAGCAGCAGUAUACUAAUGCUUCAAGAUCUAUUUAUUUUUCUGUUCAUUAUACUAAUGCCUCAGCAACAGUAUACUAAUGAUUGGUAUUCAAUUUGCUGCUUACGUUAGUGUUGCUACUGUUAUCCAUGCCCUCAUGCUUGUGUAUCUGUUUAUUAUUCUAUUCACUAUUCUUUUCCUAGUUGUUCUUUGUUGGAAGAUAUUGCUUUCAUUGACAGCCAUGAUAAUGAUAAUUUCCUCUCUUCUACAGGAGCUCUGGGUUGAAGAAGUUCGAAGAAGGGAACACUUCAUCUUUGUAGCUAGUUUUAUGUUCCUGGGUGUUUACUUCAUAGAUGUUCCUGGGUGUUCCUGGGUGUUUGUUUACUUCAUAGAUGUUCCUGGGUGUUCUAAAUUCCUGGAUGAUGUGGACUACUGCAUGAUUGUAAUAUAUAUAAUAUACUCAUUUUGGACGUCAUUUGUGAAAAUUUGUGUGGUUGAAAUAUUGGAAAUAUUGAUCAUUUAUUUUUUUUGAGGUGCUGAUCCUUAAUUGCUGAUACAUCAGAAAUGAAGCAAAUACUAUUUGGUCCCUAAAAAGGCCACAAAUCAAACAAUUCAGCAAAAAUGAACAAAAAUUGCUUAAAAAUCAAUUGUGAAAAGGUGAAGGCCAAGAAAAUAAAAAGGCCUAGGCCCAAAAAUAACGAGGCUGAAAUGUUGGGCUUGCCCAUCUACCUAAUCAAAAUUAAUAUGAGAAAAAAACACGAAUAGGCCGAAUUGUUGGGCUCGGCCCAUGAGAAAACCGAAUUGGACGGGCUGAAUCUUGUGCCACAUCAGCUUGCCACGCUGGAUGCCUACGUGGCCUGGGGAGGUUUCUAGUGACCAAAACGCCACAGUAGGCAUAUUUUGGUCGUAAACGUCUACGACCUUCUCACAGAGAAGGUCGCUAUAGUCAGUUUACGACCCUCAGCUUUUAACCUUCUAUUUUUGGUCACAAAAAGGUCACAAAUGAAAAACCAUGACCUUUCAGUGACCAAUAGUGGUGGUCACAAGUUGACAUAUUUCUUGUAGUGGGUCCCAGGGAAGUCUAGCAUGGGAGAACCAAGAGGCUCCCCCGAGCCCAUGGCAUGCUUCCUAGUUGACAGCCCGAAGGAGGAAGAUGUGUUGCAUCUGGCUGUAAUUCUGUAUGGGUGUGUUGAGGAACUGAGCGACCCUUGGGUGGUCCUAAGAAUGAAACACAAGUGUUGUUAGUUGCGAUUAGGAGUAGGUAAUGGUGGGCAGUAUAAAAAGGAAGAGGGCUGCGAGCUAACCGCGAUAUGGCCGGCGUAGUGCUCUGCCGCCAGAACUAUGGAGCAAGUGUUCUCAUCCCAUGAGGCGCCGCUAAGGUCUCUCAGCUUGGACACUUGGAUCCAUCGACCUCUCCACUUCCUUAAGUGGUUGCACACCUGGGUGGCAGACACCUCCUGCCCACAGAACUCGAACACCUGCUUCGCAACGGUGUUCAAGUGCACCUCCUUGAAUCCCUUGUCAGUCCUAACUCCAUUGGAGCUGAGCUCACACAUCUUGUUCAUGAACGUGGACAUGAGCAGGUGCCACUUCAUGUUGUUCGACCUGCCAUCCUUCUUUGCCUUUGUUGUUGCUACCUUGAGUACAGCGGCAGCAGCAGCACCAGGAGUUUGCUCAACGAGCACUACUGGCACAUAGACAGAAUCAGACGCGAACACCUCUGAAUCAGGUGCCAUCUCGGACAUAGGCUGCGAGUCCUCAACAAGCGAUGGAACAAACUGGCUGUCGGACAGGACAAGGGCCUGACUAGGAUCUUGCAUCUGCGUGGUCAUGUCCUACAAUCAUAGCACGCAUCGACAGUAAGCAUAGCACUCAACAUACCGGACAAUCCAUGAAAGCAGGAGCAUACAUGUGAUGGUUCAUCACUGUCAUACCAAGCACAUCUUCAUCACCAUCAUACUAAGCACAUGGUUCAUCGCUAUCAUACUAAGCAUACUGGACAAUCUAUGAGCAGGAACAUACAUCUACAACAAACAUCAUGCUACAAAUGGACCACCAAUAGCUACAAAUCACAGAUCUAAUCACAAAUCAACACAAGCACAAGGUUCAACUUCAAACUCUAAUACUAAUCUAGCCUACCACAUGCUUGAACAUCUAACCCUACCACAAAUUGCAACUGCAGCAUAGCAAUCAACCAUAUGAGCUCACAGAUCAGAGCACUAAUCAACCAUGCAUCUACAUCAAACCCUAGCUGUAGCUCAGAUCUAGCUAGAAGGAACAGAGAGAAAGGGGGAUUGAACUCACAGAGGCCAUGGCUGUAGCUCGAGGACGAGGGGGGAACGGUCAUAGAAGAUCACCAUCGGCCGGUGAAGGACCGCCGACACCGUGGACCGUCGGCCGUUGAAGAUGCGUCGCUUUCCUGCUCAUCGGUGCCGAUGCGCGUCGGCGGGAAAGCUCGAAAGGGAGGAGAAUGGUGGUGGGAGUUGGGGCGAUGAGGGAGGGGCUAAAUAGGGCGGACUCGGUGGGAGGUGAGACAAAAUCCUCUCGCCGAUUUUUUGGCGGCGCGAGCGAGCUCGCGCCAUCUCCCUAGUCGCAUGAGGAGAGAAGCGCAUCGCCCCCCCCCCCUGCGUCGCCCGAGCCAGGCUCGCGAGCUACUGCCGAUUCGGGCGUUUCCCUUGGGCCUGGCCUGGAGGUGCUUUAAUGUUGUGCCAUGCGGGCCGCACAGUAAACGCAGGCAACCAAACGUGCCACUUUCUUCCCGUGCGGGCUAGGCUGGGCCAUAUGCAGGCAACCAAACACGCUUUGUGUGGGCAUUGACUGGUCAUUUGUUUGUCCUCGCCCAUAAUCAUACUCCUCAAAGGUUCAUCCCCCAAAUUCAUACGAUUCAUGCAACUAUACGUAGAUAAAACAUUGUAACAUAAAUCAAACCUACUAUAUAAUACUCCAUCCGUCCUAAAAUAAGUGAUAACUUUAGUACAAAGUUAGUACAAAGUUGAGUCAUUUAUUUUAGGACGGAGAACAAUCCAACACAAAAGAUCAAGUAUAUCAUUGGACAAAGUUCAUCGCCGGACAAAUAUUAACUACAUACAAAAUAAACAAGAUAGACAGAGUAGGGCGAACAUCGCCAUUUUCUGGCAGAGCCCUUUCCCUUGCGGCCCAGAGCGGCGGUGGUAGAGGACCCUCCGUGUAGGCACCCCUGGCGGGAGUUGUAUCAUCAUCGUUCGUGCUAGUCAUGCCCCUGCCUGAUGAAGACGAGAUGAUGCUGAUGAGACGUCGGACGACAGGUGCCUACUCCUUGGCGAACCAUGUUGUCUUCGCCUUGGCGGUCUCCUUCUGCAUCGUGAGGCGUUGACUCUUCGAUACCGAGCCGGUGCGCCUUCACAUUCUUGUGGCGGAAGCGCCUCGGGUCCGUCUCCGCCAUGGUUAGCGACCGACAAAGGGCAUUGCGUAGAAGAUGCUCCUCCGGGUCGACAUGCAUGGAUCUCGCAUGUGUACGGAAGGAAACGGCCUCCACCGCCCUCUGCCCACCCCGCUGCCACUCGAGGCGUGUAGCUUUGGCCUCCGACUCUGACAUCCUCAUUCAUUAGCUCGUCGCGAGCACGGGCACCCAAUGCUGCCCGGUAGGAGGUGGGGCCAGAGGGAAAGGGAAGUGGCAUGCCCGGCGACGGAUCUGCAGUGGCGCAAAGCGCGAUGGCGCGUCACGCUCGGCCAAAUUGCAUCGUCGGGCCAUCGGGGACGAGGCGAAGUCAAGCUCCUGCCAAUGUCCACCCUCGAACGUUGGAUGGCAAAGCAGAGCACAAGAUCAUUGCCAUUCGAAGCCUCGCUGCUGGAGCCGUCCUCCUUCAAGAGCUCUUCCCAGCCAAUGGGAUCUGACUCGUUGCCUGAGGUGCUGCUACAGUGACUGCCGGAGUCGACCAUGGUACAGGGACGGGGAGGAGAGGAGACGAAGAGUGGAAGUAGUCAAGAGUGUGGACUUUGAUUAGGGUUUCGGCCGUCGGUAGGGUAUUUAUGGGGCCAAGGUGGGGCCGUAUCCGAUGUGACGAAUGCGUCCGGGCCUCCUCAUGUCUGCCCCAGAUAUUUGGGUGCCAAAUAGCCCGAUGGUUGGGCUAUGCCAGUUCCUCCGGGCGGCCUGUCUGAAAAUUCGGGGAGGAUAAUAAAGCCAGAAAUCCAGCAGUAUUCACAAACUGCACAAUUCUUAGACGAUAGCAACUUUGCUAAUUUAUUGAAGUGUUAUUCAUCACAGGAUUGUAAUCAAAGACUUACCCGGGUAUAUCAUCGUUCCUACUCUCAAAUUAUGUGUACUGCUGUCAACAUUUGACUACGACAGUAUAUAAAACAAGCCAAAUCAAGCAAUUUUAGGCCCUUCAAGUGCUAAAAAGAGCGAAAUAUUUUAACAGCAUCACACUGCAAUAAUCAAGCCACGACGGCGGAUAACAUACUGAUAUCCUGACAAUAUUUACAUGCGUGGACACAUACUUGCAGUGAACCCACCCAAUAAAAGCUGUACAUUUUUUUCUGGGAUAUUUUCUCCCAAGGACUGUUCCUAGCAUAUUUUAGAUGUAUAUAUGUACACCACUGAAUCCUGAGACUACCAUGGCUAGAACUAGCAAACCAUUUUUGAGAACAGAUCAUCUAGAGCCGAGUACAAGGGUUGCGCGGCUCUGGGCUUCUCCACCCUCCCAAACAGGAUAUCGGUCGUGGUCAAGUAGGCGUCCCCAUAGAAGCGCAGAUUGGUGUCUGAUCUGGUUGUCACAACAUUUCCUUCAAGAGAGACCCCAACAAAGGCACCUGUUUCAAGUUUUGAGAUGAAGCUACGAAUCAGAAGGAUACCAACAUACCUGUGAUGAAGCCUGCAAGAUUCUUAACAGGGAAAGCCAAACAUUGGAGACUGAAUUUAAUUGAAAAGGCAUCCUUUGGCUAAUGAGAAGACAGAAUGUGUGCCUAUGACCUUUUUUUUCCUCCUUAAAAAUGAGAUUGUACAGUAACUUUCAAAUUUAUUUUACAUGCCACAAUAAACACUCUCAAACUUGACAAAUAACUUCAGAGAGCAAGCUCAGUCCGAAGUUUAAAAACUUAAAUUUGUUUUUUUACUUGAUAACAGUGUUAAAAUUGUGCUGAUUCCCACCCAUUUCAAUCAUUUCUAAUAUUAAGCACAUCUGAAACGACAGCAAUAAUUCUCAGACGCGACUUUCUUAUUACCUUUGCUGCAGCUAUAAGUGUAGCAUAUCCCAGAACCUUUUUCACUUGCUCGAACAUCUGCUUCAAGGGCUCUGCCAAUUGGUCCUGCUGCCGCACUCAAUCCUGCCCCAAGAGAAAGAUGCAUGCGGCUGCUGAAUGCCUUGACAGCUUUAAGAUCAUGAAGCACAAUUAUAAAAUCUGUCAAUUCUCCUCCAAUCUGGAAAACACAAAGAAAUGUCAUUAUCAUGGUGAGAUGAUCUUAAGUAAUGACAUAGUGUAGUUCAGUGUCCAAAUAAUAAGAGCGCUUCAACAUAAACUUGUCUCUGAUAUCAUGCCAACCUUAUAAGCAAACAGGUCAUGAUGCUUAAUGCAUUUCAUGGAAAUUAUUCUGUGAAGAUCACAAGAAUAAAAUGAGUAACAUGCAUGUUCCUUUUUUCUGGUGAACAUCACAAGAAUAUAUCACCAGCAGAUAAACUUAGGCGUUGCCCGGGGAUUCAGAGAGAAGAUUUUACUGGAGAAAUACCUGCACUCCCCAUCCCAAUCCAACAGAUAAAAUCGCUGAUGGCGCAGACCAUGAUCCAUCUGAUCGGCGAGCAACUACAAGACCAGUGCCCAUUUUGUAUGUAAGAACCGCACCUGCUUUGGCCACUGUGAGCACAGCAAGCCCCUUUGCUCCCUUGAGGAUAGAUGAUGGGAUUGACUUCUCAGGAUUUAAUCUAGAAACCUACACAUACCAAAACAGAAACGCUUCUGAGCUCUGGAAUACAAGUAUAUAUCGGUUGGGUACAAGAUUAAACAUACCUGGCAAUAUUUCCUCAGUGUGUUUGUUGCCUUGUAUAUUUCAUACUCCAUUGACAAUCCAACAGGCAAAUUCAACCAGCUCCUCGUACUUGUCCAAUCCAUGACGUCAUGUUUGGCAGGCUGCAUGGCAUUACUGUUGUAGUUGAUCAAUAAGGCCUGGAGUGGAUCAAGUCUGUCGUAGCAAGCAUCACACACUCUCUGAGGAUCACGCAGUCUGAACUUCAUGGGCAUCAAGCAUCUUCCCUUGGAACAUUCUUUGCAGAAUAUACCUCCACAGAAGCGGCAAUGGUGCCUUCCACGAGUCAGAGCUGUGAAAGGAAAGCUGCACUGCAGGCAUACACUGGCAGAGCUAUCCGGUAACCAUUCCGGGGGAUCUGCCUGGAGCACCUCUCUGUAUGCACUGAACUGUAAAGCAUUUGCUUCAAGUAGCGGUGGUGCACUCGGAACGCAGACAGAUGAAUGCAAGUCACCAUCCUUGCCAGCGCCUAGAAAUGAUACAUCUGUGCUGAAACUUUGCUGCCGUGAUGCAUCAUCCCCAAUCUUGCUUGGACGCGAAACAAUCGCAGCAAGACCACCUAGCACGGUCUUCAGAUUGAUAGUUGAACUAGCAUGAGCUGUAGGGAACGGAUCUUCUCUUGAACCAUAUUCAGAUGGAAAGUCUGGUUCCAGAGAUGGCUCAUAGAGAUAGUCAUGCACCGGGUAAGUGUUUCCUGGAGCUAGAUCGGACAUAGGAGCUGUCUGGCUGUAGUAGCUAUCGAUUUUGGAGAGGGAUGAGUACGACAUCACUUCAUUUGGGGUCUCCAUGGAAUCAUGUAGCUACAGCACUCAUGUAGGUGAUAAGCAAUGACAGAGUAAGACCUAAAAACAGAGAUGGAAACCAAGAUUAAUAUGGUGCAGAUCCUUUAAAGUUUAUCUAGUUCGUAUAACAUUAUCGCAAGCUCAUUCUUUAAACCAAUUCGUUCAUUUUAUUGUCUACUUCUAGCAGAUAUAUCAAACUUCAUAGUCUACACACGUAUUUGAGAAUUAUAUGGCUAAGAACUGUGAUUCAUAGCAUUGUAAUUGAGCAAUCUAUUCAGCAACACACAUUGCAACAGAGCGACGAACAAUUCAUGUAACUCUAUGUGCAUCAUGAGUCCAAAACAAGAGGUGAAAUCGCAGCUGCACUACAGCAAAACACACCCAAAGUAACUCCCCCAAAACGAUCACACAACCACGUAUACCUAGCGUCCACGGGUAAGCAAGCAAUUGGGGGCAAUUUCUGAAACCCUAGACGAAAUAGAUGGGUCGAUCAGCCGAAAAUUUAACUUAACCCUGCCUAGCCAGUAGAACAUCAAUCGCGAACAAACACCACAGAUGAAUCAAAAAAUACUGCGUGAUGGGAUCAAACGAGUCGGCAGGGGUAAAGUAGCUAUGCUAAAUCAAUCGUCUCCAUCCAUCCGCCCUAACGAAUCACCCCGCCGNNNNNNNNNNNNNNNNNNNNNNNNNNNNNNNNNNNNNNNNNNNNNNNNNNNNNNNNNNNNNNNNNNNNNNNNNNNNNNNNNNNNNNNNNNNNNNNNNNNNNNNNNNNNNNNNNNNNNNNNNNNNNNNNNNNNNNNNNNNNNNNNNNNNNNNNNNNNNNNNNNNNNNNNNNNNNNNNNNNNNNNNNNNNNNNNNNNNNNNNNNNNNNNNNNNNNNNNNNNNNNNNNNNNNNNNNNNNNNNNNNNNNNNNNNNNNNNNNNNNNNNNNNNNNNNNNNNNNNNNNNNNNNNNNNNNNNNNNNNNNNNNNNNNNNNNNNNNNNNNNNNNNNNNNNNNNNNNNNNNNNNNNNNNNNNNNNNNNNNNNNNNNNNNNNNNNNNNNNNNNNNNNNNNNNNNNNNNNNNNNNNNNNNNNNNNNNCGGGAGGAAGCGUCGGGCGUGGGGAUUGGGGUGGGUUUCUUCCGUUCGCCGGCAAGAUGGAAGGGGGAAGAAGUUGAAGGGAGGAGCGAUGCGGGCACGCCGCACGCGGCUGCCUCAUCUGUACGUUAUCGGGCUCGGGCUCGGGCUGGGUCCUAGUCAAUCGGGUACCGUGACGGAUGCGGUUUGCUUUUCGGAGCCAUGGGGCCCACUUGAGGCCCAGGAAGGCAGGUGAUGCGGAUGAUGGGCCGGCCUAUCGUGCUGCCGUGUGACACCGGCCGUUCCGGCCUCCCCGGCGGCCGUGGCAGAAAGCGAAAGCUCGACCGCUCGAGGCUGGAGCGGCGCGACGGCGUGGCUCGCGCGGGUUUUGUCAGCAGCCGCGGCUGCGAACUGGCGGUGUGGAGGAGGGCGGGCGCCGACGCGUCCGGGUCACCCGUCUGCGCGCCUAUCGCGUGUGAGUCCUCUGCUCAGCUUGUUGCUUCGAUUCCGUGGAAAUAUCGCUGAAAUCUUUCGGGAGGAAUGCCCAAAUUAAUUUAUCGUCGAUCGUAAAUUUUGAUCUCGGGUGCCCCAAAAUCGAUCGCCCAGAACUACCGACCAGCGAGCUCUGAACGUUUUCACCCACCGCUGCCAAUCCUAGCCGCCGUGAAAAACAGAACGCAUCUCACCCAUCAUGAAAUUAAUCAGGAGCGGAAUAAACGAGUUAUACCCUUCAGUAGGCCAUGCAGAGGCCGCGGCUUUGGUGGCAGCAGCGGCGUCCUCGGCGGCCUUCUUGUCGGCUUCAGCUUUCUCGGCGGCGGCACGGUCGGGGUCGGUGGACAUGGUGAUGAUGAAAGCGAUGCGGACGUAGAGGAAGUAGACGAUCGGAAGCGAGCAGUCGCGUAAUCGCUGCCCAAAAACCUAUUCACCCCUCACCCCGUACAGGAACCAGAAGGGCGUGGUUUCGGAGACCUGCUCUCCUGUCGACCGUGUACGCGGUGAACGGGAUGGAGUCGCCGGCGGCGGCAGCAGCAGAGGAACGAUGUGGGCGUGGAGGCGGAAAUGCGUUCUGUUUUUCGCGGCGGCUAGGGUUGGCAGCGCCCCACAUAUAUAUGUGCGGCCGCGCGCGUGGAGAGACGUGGGCUGAACCCACGUCCAAGUCGGUAGCCCACGAUCCGACGUCUCAGAUCGUGGCCCUACCUGUCAAAGACUCUCCGUUCCUGACCGGCAAAAAGAAGCGCAUAGAAACGAGCUCGGCUCGGCUCAAUCCCGCGGCGCGGCGCGGCGCGGCGAGCGGAGGAGGAGGAGGAGUGCGCGAGGGCCUCUUCUCUUCUCAAGCUCUAAUAGCAUGUAGAAGAGCCACCCUUAUAAACCACUCCAACUUUCCUUCCACUAGCAUGGUGGGACUAAACUUCCCACCACCUUGUCAUGCCACCUACAUGGGCCCUUAGAGAUCAAAUUUGAAAUUGUCAUAUGGGCUCUAGGCCCAUCUCACAUUUCAACAAAGGUGUCAAGAGGUCCCUUGCUGUCAUGUGCAAUGCAAUUGCUCCCUAUUUGUCAAGUACUCCUCUUCCUAUGUAGUUUAGGGGGUUAAGGUGUAGCCCUACCGGGCAUUUUAGAGACAGGUUUUAUAGGAACGAAAUUACCUUUUCACUAUAUAUACUACGGGUUUUUAUUUGAAAAAUACAAUAUUCCAUACUAAAGGAUUCGGAUCCAUAACCACGAGUUCCAGUGCACUUAGGUCUCGUAGCCCUUGGCAACGAGGCCCUAUCAAUAGUAUUCCACAUAGGAAAUCCAUUCUAGAAAAACAAUUAGACAAACUUGGGUUUUGCAAGCCAAGAUAAGAUUGAGGCGGUGGAUGGAGAGUUCUACAAUGAAUUGGUGGGAUGAAGGUGCUAGCUUGGCAAGAUAAGAAGUUCAAUGUGUACGAUAGAUUUGGUCCUGGUGUCACCAUCCUUUUCGAGUUCUUAUAGGAUUAGCAAGAUGUUCUAGUGUUAACAAUAGAGAAAUUGAAUGAAUGAAAUAUAUCUAAAGAAGAAAGGAGCCAUGUCUUUGUAAAAGUCCGAAGAAAAGGGAUUUUGAAUAUGCCUUUUCCUUUUUCCCUCAGAAAAAUGACUCAAUCAAAAUCCGGUCCUAAUAAAUGUUAAUUGCACAGAAUGGGAAACUUGGGAGUAAAACAAAGACUAUCUUAUUCAUUCAUUCAAAUACUGUAUCCAUGAGAAAGUACCAACAACACAGCAUCCAUCCAGUUCCCCUACCGCGACAACACGGCCGGGGCCUCAACAGGAACUAAAGUUCAUACUGAAUCAAGAACGGUAACAAAGGACAAUCAAAGGCAUAACACUCUCCGAUCUGUGCUUCAUCACUGAAUCAAGAACGGUAAAGCGGAGCGCUCGCCCGCCAUUUAUUUCUCUGGUAAGGACAAAUCAU